CAUGCAAGUCGAACGAGAAUCUACUGAAAGAGUUUUCGGACAAUGGAUGUAGAGGAAAGUGGCGGACGGGUGAGUAACGCGUGAGGAACCUGCCUUGAAGAGGGGGACAACAGUUGGAAACGACUGCUAAUACCGCAUAACGCAUAGGGGUCGCAUGAUCUUUAUGCCAAAGAUUUAUUGCUUCAAGAUGGCCUCGCGUCUGAUUAGCUAGUUGGCGGGGUAACGGCCCACCAAGGCGACGAUCAGUAGCCGGACUGAGAGGUUGAACGGCCACAUUGGGACUGAGAUACGGCCCAGACUCCUACGGGAGGCAGCAGUGGGGAAUAUUGGGCAAUGGGCGCAAGCCUGACCCAGCAACGCCGCGUGAAGGAAGAAGGCUUUCGGGUUGUAAACUUCUUUUAAGAGGGAAGAGCAGAAGACGGUACCUCUAGAAUAAGCCACGGCUAACUACGUGCCAGCAGCCGCGGUAAUACGUAGGUGGCAAGCGUUGUCCGGAUUUACUGGGUGUAAAGGGCGUGCAGCCGGGUCUGCAAGUCAGAUGUGAAAUCCAUGGGCUCAACCCAUGAACUGCAUUUGAAACUGUAGAUCUUGAGUGUCGGAGGGGCAAUCGGAAUUCCUAGUGUAGCGGUGAAAUGCGUAGAUAUUAGGAGGAACACCAGUGGCGAAGGCGGAUUGCUGGACGAUAACUGACGGUGAGGCGCGAAAGUGUGGGGAGCAAACAGGAUUAGAUACCCUGGUAGUCCACACUGUAAACGAUGAAUACUAGGUGUGCGGGGACUGACCCCCUGCGUGCCGCAGUAAACACAAUAAGUAUUCCACCUGGGGAGUACGAUCGCAAGGUUGAAACUCAAAGGAAUUGACGGGGGCCCGCACAAGCGGUGGAUUAUGUGGUUUAAUUCGAAGCAACGCGAAGAACCUUACCAGGGUUUGACAUCCUGCUAA
rnacentral:rRNA from 1 species